rnacentral:rRNA from 1 species
AUUGAACGCUGGCGGCAUGCCUUAUACAUGCAAGUCGAACGGAAACACGCCGCGCUUUCCUGACUGGUGUUGACCGCGUGCGUAAUACAACCACAUGUAUCCCGUCCCUGUGGGAAAGUACUCGCAAGAGUAACUAAUACCUCAUACGAUCUAAUGUAUAAAACGGCAUGGCGCAAUAGCGCGCGCGGUUUUUGCUGUCGCUGUCAGAUUAGGUAGUUGGUGGGGUAAUGGCUGACCAAGCCAACGAUCUGUAGCUGGUCUGAGAGGAUGAGCCGCCACACUGGGACUGAGACACGGCCCAGACUCCUACGGGAGGCAGCAGUGGGGAAUUUUGGGCAAUGGGCGCAAGCCUGAUCCAGCAAUGCCACGUGCAGGAAGAAGGUCUUCGGGUUGUAAACUGCUGUUGUACGGAACGAAACGGCUUUUGUUAAUACCCGGAGGUAAUGACGGUACCGUAAGAGUAAGCACCGGCUAACUACGUG